UCAGCAACGGAUAUCUUGGCUCUUGCAACGAUGAAGAACGCAGCGAAAUGCGAUACUUAAUGUGAAUUGCAGAAUUCCGCGAAUCAUCGAGUCUUUGAACGCAAGUUGCGCCCGAGGCUUGUCCGAGGGCAUUUCCGCUAGAGCGUCACC
rnacentral:rRNA from 1 species